GCAUAAUACAGUUUUUUCAUCUCCGGGUCCCAUUACUUCACCUUUCUCUCUCUGACCACCCAACAAUCUCCACAUUCCAGCCCACUCCAAAAUCCUUAAAAACCCUAGCUCCAAACUCCUCAGGAGGACGGAUUUGCAGUUCCCUCUCAUCUCCUCAUUCUGCAGCCCAACAAAUAAACCCCGCCCCCAGGUCUUGGGUAUUGACUUGCCACACAUCAGACAGCACACUUACUCUGGAUACACUUGAAUUCCCCUUACAGACUCCUUCUCCCACACUGGCUCCCACUGCAAGCGUGGUAGCCUGACUUACCUUUGACAUCAAUGACCACUCUUGCUCCCUUAUUUUCCUUCCCUGGUUCCUUCUUUUGCCCCCUACAUAGGCCCUAGGGUUCUGUACUCCAUACUCUUCCUUCUUCCUUUCCUUCUCUAGUGAAUUUUACUUCUACUUUUUUUUUUUUUUUUU
rnacentral:lncRNA from 10 species